rnacentral:rRNA from 1 species
AGAAUCAACGCUGGCGGCGUGCCUAACACAUGCAAGUCGCACGAGAAAGGGGACUUCGGUUCCUGAGUACAGUGGCGCACGGGUGAGUAACACGUGAAUAAUCUACCUUCGAGUGGGGAAUAACUGAGAGAAAUCUUAGCUAAUACCGCAUAAUACCUACGGGUCAAAGCAGCAAUGCGCUUGAAGAGGAGUUCGCGGCAGAUUAGUUAGUUGGCGGGGUAAUGGCCCACCAAGACGAUGAUCUGUAUCCGGCCUGAGAGGGCGCACGGACACACUGGAACUGAAACACGGUCCAGACUCCUACGGAGGCAGCAGUGGGGAAUUUUGCGCAAUGGGGGAAACCCUGACGCAGCAACGCCGCGUGGAGGAUGAAAUCCCUUGGGAUGUAAACUCCUUUCGAUCGGGAAGAUAAUGACGGUACCGAGAGAAGAAGCCCGGCUAACUUCGCGCCAGCAGCCGC